UACGUAGGGAGCAAGCGUUGUUCGGAUUUACUGGGCGUAAAGGGCGCGUAGGCGGCCUGUCAAGUCAAUUGUGAAAUCUCCGGGCUUAACUCGGAACGGUCAAUUGAUACUGUCAGGCUAGAGUGCAGAAGGGGCAAUCGGAAUUCUUGGUGUAGCGGUGAAAUGCGUAGAUAUCGGAAGGAACAUCAGUGGCGAAAGCGACUUCCUGGACCAAUACUGACGCUCAUGUGCGAAAGCGUGGGGAGCAAACAGG
rnacentral:rRNA from 1 species